GGGGAAUUUUCCGCAAUGGGCGCAAGCCUGACGGAGCAAGACCGCGUGAGGGAGGAAGGCUCUUGGGUUGUAAACCUCUUUUAUCAGGGAAGAAGAUCUGACGGUACCUGAUGAAUCAGCAUCGGCUAACUCCGUGCCAGCAGCCGCGGUAAUACGGAGGAUGCAAGCGUUAUCCGGAUUUAUUGGGCGUAAAGCGUCCGCAGGUGGUUAUUCAAGUCUGCUGUUAAGGCGCGAGGCUUAACCUUGUACAGGCAGUGGAAACUGGAUGACUGGAGUAUGGUAGGGGUAGCGGGAAUUCCCAGUGUAGCGGUGAAAUGCGUAGAUAUUGGGAAGAACACCAGCGGCGAAAGCGCGCUACUGGGCCAUUACUGACACUCAUGGACGAAAGCUAGGGGAGCGAAAGGGAUUAGAUACCCCUGUAGUCCUAGCUGUAAACGAUGGGUACUAGGUGUUGACCGUAUCGACCCGGUCAGUGCCGUAGCUAACGCGUUAAGUACCCCGCCUGGGGAGUAUGCACGCAAGUGUGAAACUCAAAGGAAUUGACGGGGGCCCGCACAAGCGGUGGAGUAUGUGGUUUAAUUCGAUGCAACGCGAAGAACCUUACCAGGGCUUGACAUGUCGCGAACCUCGGUGAAAGUCGAGGGUGCCUUCGGGAGCGCGAACACAGGUGGUGCAUGGCUGUCGUCAGCUCGUGUCGUGAGAUGUUGGGUUAAGUCCCGCAACGAGCGCAACCCUCGUUUUUAGUUGCCAGCAUUGAGUUGGGCACUCUAGAGAGACUGCCGGUGACAAACCGGAGGAAGGUGGGGAUGACGUCAAGUCAGCAUGCCCCUUACGUCCUGGGCUACACACGUACUACAAUGCUUCGGACAAAGGGUUGCGAGCUAGCGAUAGCAAGCUAAUCCCGUAAACCGAGGCUCAGUUCAGAUUGCAGGCUGCAACUCGCCUGCAUGAAGGAGGAAUCGCUAGUAAUCCCAGGUCAGCAUACUGGGGUGAAUACGUUCCCGGGCCUUGUACACACCGCCCGUCACACCAUGGGAGUUGGCCACGCCCGAAGUCGUUACUCCAACCGCUUGCGGAGGAGGAUGCCGAAGGCAGGGCUGAUGACUGGGGUGAAGUCGUAACAAGGUAGCCGUACCGGAAGGUGUGGCUGGAUCACCUCCUU
rnacentral:rRNA from 2 species